GAGACAUACACAUAUAUACAGACACACAGGCAUACAUAGUGACAGACACAUACUAACAUACAUACAGAUACACAUGCAUGAGGACAUACACAUACAUACACCAACAUACAUACACACAGACAUACAUUCAUUCAUACAGGCACACAUUCAUACAGACAGACAUACAGACGCUGACAUCCAUAUACACAUACAUUCAUAAUGGCAUACAUUCAUAGUGGCAUAUAUACAGACAUACAUACAUACAUUCAUACA